rnacentral:pre_miRNA from 1 species
CAAGUACUCCCUCCGUUCGGAAUUACUCGUCCAAGAAAUUAAUGUAUCUAGAUGUAUUUUAGUUGUAGAUACAUCCAUUUUUGUGACAAGUAAUUCCGAACGGAGGGAGUAGUAU